UACGUAGGGUGCGAGCGUUAAUCGGAAUUACUGGGCGUAAAGCGUGCGCAGGCGGUCUGUUAAGACCGAUGUGAAAUCCCCGGGCUUAACCUGGGAACUGCAUUUGUGACUGCAUGGCUGGAGUGCGGCAGAGGGGGAUGGAAUUCCGCGUGUAGCAGUGAAAUGCGUAGAUAUGCGGAGGAACACCGAUGGCGAAGGCAAUCCCCUGGGCCUGCACUGACGCUCAUGCACGAAAGCGUGGGGAGCAAACAGG
rnacentral:rRNA from 1 species